rnacentral:sRNA from 1 species
UUUUAGCCCUGAUAGCGGUGUAUAUCCUUUCUAGUCCUGAACUUGUUUCAGGAUCCUGAAACAAGUUCAGGACUAGAAAGAUUGUAACGGAUAGCGGGAUUAGCU